GAGGCAUUAGUAAACUAAUUACAUAGUCUUGUCAAGACUAAAUCACGGGCAAAACCCCCGUAUACCUCU
rnacentral:tRNA from 1 species